AUUGAAUGCUGGCGGCAUGCCUUACACAUGCAAGUCGAACGGCAGCAUGAUCUAGCUUGCUAGAUUGAUGGCGAGUGGCGAACGGGUGAGUAAUACAUCGGAACGUGCCCUGUAGUGGGGGAUAACUAGUCGAAAGAUUAGCUAAUACCGCAUACGACCUGAGGGUGAAAGUGGGGGACCGCAAGGCCUCAUGCUAUAGGAGCGGCCGAUGUCUGAUUAGCUAGUUGGUGAGGUAAAGGCUCACCAAGGCGACGAUCAGUAGCUGGUCUGAGAGGACGAUCAGCCGCACUAGGACUGAGACACGGCCCAGACUCCUACGGGAGGCAGCAGUGGGGAAUUUUGGACAAUGGGCGAAAGCCUGAUCCAGCAAUGCCGCGUGUGUGAAGAAGGCCUUCGGGUUGUAAAGCACUUUUGUCCGGAAAGAAAUGGCUCUGGUUAAUACCUGGGGUCGAUGACGGUACCGGAAGAAUAAGGACCGGCUAACUACGUG
rnacentral:rRNA from 1 species